GGACGCUCCGCUCCAUUCCGCACCGCAAAGCCAUUUCCUGGUUAGCCGAAGCCCGUGAGCGCCUGGAUCGCACCCAGGAGGUCGGCGGUUCGAAUCCGCCUAGCUCCA
rnacentral:tRNA from 1 species